UACGGAGGAUGCAAGCGUUAUCCGGAUUUAUUGGGUUUAAAGGGUGCGUAGGCGGAUAUGUAAGUCAGCGGUGAAACUCACAGGCCCAACCUGUGCCGUGCCGUUGAAACUGUGUAUCUGGAAUGCGGAUGCUGUGGGAGGAAUGUGUAGUGUAGCGGUGAAAUGCAUAGAUAUUACACAGAACACCGAUUGCGAAGGCAUCUCACAAAGCCGUUAUUGACGCUGAGGCACGAAAGUGUGGGGAUCAAACA
rnacentral:rRNA from 1 species